CCUACGGGAGGCAGCAGUGAGGAAUAUUGGGCAAUGGGCGAAAGCCUGACCCAGCAACGCCGCGUGAGGGAUGAAGGCCUUCGGGUUGUAAACCUCUUUUCUGGGAGAAGAGACAAGGACGGUAUCCCAGGAAUAAGUCUCGGCUAACUACGUGCCAGCAGCCGCGGUAAU
rnacentral:rRNA from 1 species